UCUUAAUUAAUUACAACUUGAGAAGAAAAGCUUGUGUAACUUAGGAACUGACUUGCACUGGUUACACUGAAAGUGCCAAGGAGUUGUAGUGUCCACUGGAUUGUUUGUAUUGAAGCAGUUUGGUGUUUACAGAGGGAUAAUAACUCCUGUCAGCAGCAAGGUCCUGACUGAAGUGGCAGCUGCAGUUGUUCCUGUGGUGUGGGCCAGUGGAAUUCCAAGAAAAUGGACAAGGACAGAAGCUGUAAGAAUUACCCCUAAGCCAGAGUCUCUCCUGGCAGAAGAGCCCAGGCCUGAGCUGGCUGAGUGUUGGUGUGAGCCAGAGUGGGUGUCCCUGCCCUCGGGCCAGUCCCCAGAGCUGCCUUUGGCAUCCCCUGCUGAAGGGUGGGAGCUGCCCAGAGCCAGCAGCAUCCAGCUGGAGGAUCCAGGAGGAUGCAGCUCUGCUUUGCUGGGAGCUUGUCCAGGAGAUGGAAUUCCAGUGCUACAGUCUGGGUGGGUCAUGGUGCUCCCAAAAGGAGCCUUUGUGCCUUCAGGACAAGUUUUGGUGCCACUGGAGCUGCUGGGAGAAGCAUAGGGUUGGCAGUGAGAGGCCUGGAAUGAUGUUGCUGUGGCACAGAAGAAAUGAGCAGUGAUGGUACAAUUGACUGUUUUCUCUGGAAUGUAAUGGUAAGAGCUGCAGGAGUGCCAGGUGUGUGUUCCAGUCCCCAGCAUUUGGUUUGCACUUGUCCUGGUCAGACACAGGUCCAACUUCCUCAGUCCUUAACCCAGUAGAGGGAGAAUUAAGGACUGGCAGUGUUAAGGUGACUGGUGUGACAGGGGUUAAACUGGGAAAACAUUGGGGAAUUCCUGAGUUUGUCUCUUUGCCAAACUCACCCAAACCUGUGCUAGGAAGAGAUGGACUGGAAAAGUUGAGGCAGAAAUGAAAUGGAAAACUGGGGAUGUUGAAACUGUAAUUGCUGGAACUAAAUGUGUCCAAGCAGCAGCUCUUGUUGUGCAGGGAAUAACUCCUGUCAGCAGCAAGGUCCCGACUGAAGUGGCAGCUGCAGUUGUUCCUGUGGUGUGGGCCAGUGGAAUUGCAGGAGAGUGGAAGAGGGCAGAACCUGUAGGUAUUACCCCUAAUGUGGGAUCUAUAUGGGUAAGGCAAACCCAGUAUCCUUUAAAAUCAGAAUGCCCGCUUGGAUUGGUUGCAGUAACAGC